rnacentral:rRNA from 1 species
GUAUCGGCUAACUCCGUGCCAGCAGCCGCGGUAAUACGGAGGAUACGAGCGUUAUCCGGAUUUACUGGGUGUAAAGGGCGUGUAGACGGAUGGGUAAGUUGGCUGUUUAACCUGGGGGCUAAACCCCCAGCCUGCAACCGAAACUGCUGAUCUUGAGUACCAGAGGGGAAAGCGGAAUUCCUAGUGGAGCGGUAAAAUGCAUAGAGAUUAGGAAGAACACCGGUGGCGAAGGCGGCUUUCUGGCUGGCAACUGACGUUGAGGCGCGAAAGUAUGGGUAGCGAACAGGAUUAGAUACCCUGGUAGUCCAUACCGUAAACGAUGAAUACUAGGUGUAGGAGGUAUCGACUCCUUCUGUGCCGAAACGAACGCAUUAAGUAUUCCACCUGGGGAGUACGAUCGCA